rnacentral:misc_RNA from 1 species
AUCUCAAUCAUGCCUAACGUAAUGACGAGUGUUAUGCAAUUCUGAAGUUGAAGAACUUCUCUCCAAAACCUUGCAUACUGAGAGAACCAAAAGAUUCCGAGUAGGACAAAGGCAAGUGACAUGAACCCAUAAAAAUUCAUGAGAGGUGCCAUCCUUCCCGGCAGGUAACCAUUGGGGUUCUUCCAUAUAGUCUUCCCUCCUAUAACCAGUCCAUUCAACCCCGGAUCACAAUACAUAAAAUAUAAG